AGAUCCUUCAACCGAACAGGACCGAACUGCCAACCGGCAUAUUUGAGGCCAACACUUACUAGUUCCAGUGGAUUGCGAUAUGUGUCGAUUAAUUUAAUAUUAUUGUUUGCUAAACGAAAUGAAUGCACCAUUCUGGUGGUUGCAAUCCAAAAUGGCGAUCGCAAAUACAAUAUGCAUCUGAUUUUCGAUGGAAAAUUUGUGAAAAUGGGAGCCGGUGUGGCAUUAUUGAUGGAUCAAGCAAAUUGGAUUUAGAUAUUUUGAUACAUUUUCUAUAAUGGGUGUAUGCAAAGUGUCUACUGCGGAAGUAAUUCGUUUUGUGAUAUGAAGAGCUUUUCAGUGAAAUACGAAAACAAGUACUAUGCAAAGAAGAAACAAUUUCAAUCGAUAAGGAAGCCACCAUAAAACAGGCGUUAACAUUUGAGCUAAGUCCAGUCGGAAAAUGAUCCGUAAUUCUGGCUUGUUCUAGUUAGUAUCCGGCUACAGUGACACAACUAGCUAGGUAGGGCCAGCUAGAAAAUUAUGUCAUUACAGUAUACCCCAAAAAUGGAUGGCGUGAAAGUUCGAAACGGGUGUCACUAACGUAAUUGGGUGAUUCGCGUUAUGAUUUCAUGGAAUUUAAUUUCCGUUAAUCGCCGCUGUGUUUUUUAUGAAAGUCAACAAUCUGCAGCGAUGUUUCUAAAACAUUUAAGCAACUACUUACAAGCUUUGAAGCAAUGAUCCUGUACUCUAACUGUUUUUGUGGCGAGCAGUUUAUAUUGUGCAAUAUUUUCGUGACAACUGAAACCUGAAACACUGGAGCGUCGCAUCAAACAAGUAAUUUAGUUUUAAAAGAUCUAAAAAAGGCAGAUUUAGAUUUAGAAGAAAACUUUAGAGUGCUACAAUCGGAUAGAAAGGCGUGAAGAGUAUUAGUUCGGGUAUAAUUCCAUCAUGACGAGAAUAACUUAGGAUUAAUAGAAUAUUUCCAACAUAAUGAUGCCAAUGUUAUGCGAAUUCGCUGUACUUUAGUGUUUGUACAUCCUAAAAUUUCGGAUUUAGAAAUCAGCUUUCUCGCCUGAGCGAAACAAACAGUGAAGUGAAGUUUACUAAAAAUUUCACAACUCAAGUUCGAAACUUUAGGGACAGCGUGUACUUGCUAUUCGUCGAUUGCAUGUUCAGUUUUUACUUUUAAUUUAUACCUUAUAUUUUAUGGUUUUUGGACUACCUGAGAUUCAGAACGAUUGCCCUUCCCGAGCAAACGAAUUACGCAGAGUACCUCAACUCAUGGCCCAAAUUUACCCCUAUUGCCUGGCGUUCUAAUAGUGUUUGGAAUUAGAUUAACCCAUGAUAUCCCCAUACCCAUGGUCUGGUAGAUCCCAUUCGAAAAUAUGUUAGUGUAUUCUUGGGCUUUAGGGAUUAUUUUUUUGGUGUUUUGAUGGUUGUGCAAUCUAGCGCAGGCCAUAUUUAAGAUCCCGGGCGCAUCCGCAGUUUUUUUCUUAUUCUUAUCGCCUUGAUUUCUUCUAGUGAUUCAACUCUUAUGUUAACUAUAAAUAAUUUUGACAAUGGAUGCCCAGUAAAAUUAUUUAUAGUAUCAAUAUUCGGAUUUGUUUUUAAUGACUCGAUUCUUUCAGCGUUGUAAUUUUAUUGGAUGAAUAAUUUCAACCAAAUUAUUACCUGAUUCUUUACAGAAGUUUCGAGUACGAUUAACUUUUACUUCAAGCAAUACAACAAACAACUAUAAUUUCUAUUAAAAUCUUAUGUUUAUAAAAACGCUCUCUCGUCGCCAGUUAAUAAGUUUUUCUUGCUUGAGGCUUGUGUAAUAUACCAAAACCAUUCUCCGGAGUUUCCUCUGUUGAUGAGGUCCAUCAGAAGCUGAUCAGGACAGAAUCUGCAAGUGUAAUUAUUCCAUUUGCUACGGAUGCAAGAUAUGUGGGGCUACCCAUUAUUAAGCAUUGCUAGGAAAUCACUCGGCACGGAAGUCGACUGACCGGACGAAAUAUGACUUAUCUUGUUAAGUAGGUCGAUGAGGGUGCCACAUCAUUUGACAAUGUUGCCAGCUUCGGGCUUAAAAACAGAAAAAGGAUUGAGAUUUUAACUCACAGUACUAAUCAGUAUUUUUCGGCGGCGGGAAGAUUCUCGGAGAAAUUUGUGGGGGUUUAUAAAAUUGAUGUGGAUUUAUUUUAGGUGGAAUUUUUGGAGGAUUUGAUAAAAAUGCAUUAUUAUAUUUUGGUUUGAUUAUAGUUUUUCUAUAUUCAAUAUUUUGGUACGAAAUGCAAUAAGCAUAUGCGUUCGCUGAAGAUUCAGGAUCAUGAUUUUUCAUAAAACUUUCCUACGUCUCCAUUUAGAACAUCAAGAGGUCUGCCUCUCUGUAUGCAAUUCAUUAAUUGGUAGUCUAGUGUAGUUGAGUCCCUUUUGUCCCCAUAAUAAGUCAAGAGUUUUUUUUAAUUAAAUGCCAAUUAAUAUUGGCAUUUGAAUUCACCAAAGUUUUGUUCGCCUCUCCUUUAAUGUUUCACCGAACACAAGUACAGCGUAAUUUUUUUUUUGUUCAACCGUACUUUGUGCUGAGAGCCGUUACGCUUUCACUAAAUUAUCCACAUCUCCUACCCUAUUGCUUAACUCGUCCGAUUUGCCAUCAAAAAUUGGUAUAUCUUUCAUUAAAUCUGGUAAUUUUUCUAUAACAAUUGAUUCAUCAGGAUUUUGUUAAGUCAAAAUUGGGUCACUGUAAUCUAUUUCAGCCGAAGAUGCGCUUCUAAUGCUGACAAACGAGCCACAAUUUCCAAAAUUUGUGAAUUAUUCGGUGCUGCCAUGUUUUUAAUUUUUUAACUUUUAUAACUAUUAAUUUUUACUCAGUUUUUAAAUCACACUUUUAUCAUUUUCUAUAUUAUCACUGUUUAAUUCCUAUC